GACGAACGCUGGCGGCGUGCCUAAUACAUGCAAGUAGAACGCUGAAGGAGGAGCUUGCUUCUCUGGAUGAGUUGCGAACGGGUGAGUAACGCGUAGGUAACCUGCCUGGUAGCGGGGGAUAACUAUUGGAAACGAUAGCUAAUACCGCAUAAGAGUAGAUGUUGCAUGACAUUUGCUUAAAAGGUGCAAAUGCAUCACUACCAGAUGGACCUGCGUUGUAUUAGCUAGUUGGUGGGGUAACGGCUCACCAAGGCGACGAUACAUAGCCGACCUGAGAGGGUGAUCGGCCACACUGGGACUGAGACACGGCCCAGACUCCUACGGGAGGCAGCAGUAGGGAAUCUUCGGCAAUGGACGGAAGUCUGACCGAGCAACGCUGCGUGAGUGAAGAAGGUUUUCGGAUCGUAAAGCUCUGUUGUAAGAGAAGAACGAGUGUGAGAGUGGAAAGUUCACACUGUGACGGUAUCUUACCAGAAAGGGACGGCUAACUACGUGCCAGCAGCCGCGGUAAUACGUAGGUCCCGAGCGUUGUCCGGAUUUAUUGGGCGUAAAGCGAGCGCAGGCGGUUAGAUAAGUCUGAAGUUAAAGGCUGUGGCUUAACCAUAGUAGGCUUUGGAAACUGUUUAACUUGAGUGCAAGAGGGGAGAGUGGAAUUCCAUGUGUAGCGGUGAAAUGCGUAGAUAUAUGGAGGAACACCGGUGGCGAAAGCGGCUCUCUGGCUUGUAACUGACGCUGAGGCUCGAAAGCGUGGGGAGCAAACAGG
rnacentral:rRNA from 1 species